rnacentral:rRNA from 1 species
GUUUGAUCCUGGUUCAGGAUGAACGCUAGCGGCAGGCUUAACACAUGCAAGUCGAGGGGUAUAGUUCUUCGGAGCUAGAGACCGGCGCACGGGUGCGUAACGCGUAUGCAAUCUACCUUUUACAGAGGGAUAGCCCAGAGAAAUUUGGAUUAAUACCUCAUAGCAUAGCAGCUUCGCAUGAAGCCACUAUUAAAGUCACAACGGUAAAAGAUGAGCAUGCGUCCCAUUAGCUAGUUGGUAAGGUAACGGCUUACCAAGGCUACGAUGGGUAGGGGUCCUGAGAGGGAGAUCCCCCACACUGGUACUGAGACACGGACCAGACUCCUACGGGAGGCAGCAGUGAGGAAUAUUGGACAAUGGGCGCAAGCCUGAUCCAGCCAUGCCGCGUGCAGGAUGACGGUCCUAUGGAUUGUAAACUGCUUUUGUACGAGAAGAAACACUCCUAUGUAUAGGAGCUUGACGGUAUCGUAAGAAUA